AGAGUUUGAUCAUGGCUCAGGAUGAACGCUGGCGGCGUGCUUAACACAUGCAAGUCGAACGAUGAUCCGGUGCUUGCGCCGGGGAUUAGUGGCGAACGGGUGAGUAACACGUGAGUAACCUGCCCUUGACUCUGGGAUAAGCCUGGGAAACUGGGUCUAAUACCGGAUAUGACUCCUCAUCGCAUGGUGGGGGGUGGAAAGCUUUUUGUGGUUUUGGAUGGACUCGCGGCCUAUCAGCUUGUUGGUGGGGUAAUGGCCUACCAAGGCGACGACGGGUAGCCGGCCUGAGAGGGUGACCGGCCACACUGGGACUGAGACACGGCCCAGACUCCUACGGGAGGCAGCAGUGGGGAAUAUUGCACAAUGGGCGAAAGCCUGAUGCAGCGACGCCGCGUGAGGGAUGACGGCCUUCGGGUUGUAAACCUCUUUCAGUAGGGAAGAAGCCCUCUUUGGGGGUGACGGUACUUGCAGAAGAAGCGCCGGCUAACUACGUGCCAGCAGCCGCGGUAAUACGUAGGGCGCAAGCGUUAUCCGGAAUUAUUGGGCGUAAAGAGCUCGUAGGCGGUUUGUCGCGUCUGCUGUGAAAGACCGGGGCUCAACUCCGGUUCUGCAGUGGGUACGGGCAGACUAGAGUGCAGUAGGGGAGACUGGAAUUCCUGGUGUA
rnacentral:rRNA from 1 species